AUAUUGCGCAAUGGGCGGAAGCCUGACGCAGCAACGCCGCGUGAGGGAUGACGGCCUUCGGGUUGUAAACCUCUUUCAGCGCUGACGAAGCCUUCGGGUGACGGUAGGCGCCGAAGAAGCACCGGCUAACUACGUGCCAGCAGCCGCGGUAAUACGUAGGGUGCGAGCGUUGUCCGGAAUUAUUGGGCGUAAAGGGCUCGUAGGCGGCUUGUCGCGUCUGCUGUGAAAGCCCGGGGCUUAACUCCGGGUCUGCAGUGGAUACGGGCAGGCUAGAGUCCGGCAGGGGAGACUGGAAUUCCUGGUGUAGCGGUGGAAUGCGCAGAUAUCAGGAGGAACACCGGUGGCGAAGGCGGGUCUCUGGGCCGGUACUGACGCUGAGGAGCGAAAGCGUGGGGAGCGAACAGG
rnacentral:rRNA from 1 species